rnacentral:lncRNA from 1 species
GUGACAUAGAUCAUACAGAUCAUCAUCUAUUCUGCAACCUAUCUAUCAAUAAACCAGAACAACUAUAGCUGCAUCUUCUUUAAUUUUCUUUGGUAUUACAGAUGAAACAUUAGUGAAUAUAGGUUGUAGUCUUGUAGAUAAGCAGAAUGAAAAAUAUAAAUCGCAAAAUUAAAAUGGAAAAGUUAAGUUUUUAAUGAAUUAAUUAUUGAAGAGAAUUCUGCUGAUUGCAGAAUGCUUACAAAUCAGAAAGAGGAAAAGGAAAUUGACGAUUGGCUACCAGUCACUUCUUCAAGUAAUGCAAAAU